CCUACGGGGUGCAGCAGUGGGGAAUUUUGGACAAUGGGGGCAACCCUGAUCCAGCCAUGCCGCGUGAGUGAAGAAGGCCUUCGGGUUGUAAAGCUCUUUCGGCCGGGAAGAAAUCGCUCAAGCUAAUACCUUGGGUGGAUGACGGUACCGGAAGAAGAAGCACAGGCUAACUACGUGCCAGCAGCCGCGGUAAUACGUACGGUGCGAGUGUUAAUCGGACUUACGGGGCGUACAGCGUGAGCAGGCGGCGAAAUCCCCGGGCUUAACCUGGGAACUGCGUUUUGGACUGUGGUGCUCGAGUGCGGCAGAGGGGGGUGGAAUUCCACGUGUAGCAGUGAAAUGCGUAGAGAUGUGGAGGAACACCGAUGGCGAAGGCAGCCCCCUGGGUCGACACUGACGCUCAUGCACGAAAGCGUGGGGAGCAAACAGGAUUAGAUACCCCAGUAGUC
rnacentral:rRNA from 1 species